rnacentral:rRNA from 1 species
UACGAAGGGGGCUAGCGUUGCUCGGAAUUACUGGGCGUAAAGGGCGCGUAGGCGGAUAGUUUAGUCAGAGGUGAAAGCCCAGGGCUCAACCUUGGAAUUGCCUUUGAUACUGGCUAUCUUGAGUUCGGGAGAGGUGAGUGGAAUGCCGAGUGUAGAGGUGAAAUUCGUAGAUAUUAGGAAGAACACCAGUGGCGAAGGCGGCUCACUGGUCCGGUACUGACGCUGAGGUGCGAAAGCGUGGGGAGCAAACAGG